rnacentral:lncRNA from 1 species
CGACCCUACUUAAUACAACAUACUAUAAAAUAUAAAAUUUUAGUACAUCCUAUUUUAAACAUUUUGUUUAAAUUUUACGGUCAAAAAACUUGUGUCAAUUACCACCCCCCAAGUGCAUCAUGUCAAAGCAGCCAUCCAUAUAGAUGUGCACGGGGCCGCGGCUGCAUUGCGGUGACUGGCGGCGGAGGUUGUCGAUGGGCAGCAUUGUAGGAAGGGGCGAUGGGGCUGACAAGGUGGAGGGUGAGCACUGAGGCGACGAGCACUAUCUCACUGAUGACGCACGUCGACCGCCACUAGCUUAGCUCUGUUGCUGAUGCUCUCAGUCACCGCCGUGAAAUGAGAGAUUGAGCAGCGGAUGGGAGAGAGGCCCGAGGAAGUAAGCAUGGCCAGAGGGAGGGAGGGAUCUCAGGUUUGGGAUCGGGGUGCCAG